CUGUUUACUUCCUGGUUGCGCCAUGAGAAGACGAUAGCUGCGUCAAAGCUCCCAAACAAAAGUUUCACGUUGAGUAAAGUUCUGGAUAUGUUGGAUCUAGGUGACUGCCCAGACAAGGCAUGCAACAUUGCAGUUAUCCCUCAGAGAUUGUGAUAGCGGUGGGUCAGAUAUGGACUAUGAGGGGGAGACAGGCCAUUUGCCAGCCAGGCUGUUGAAUGUGUAUGCUGAACCUAUGCAAACAGAUCAUGACAGGAACAACGUUAUCAGUGAUGAUGACCUACCCCUCACUACCCCGCACUCUCCUCCCUGAGACUGGGUUGGGUCAUGGACCUCAAGGUUGCAAGUUCCUUCAUGACAACCUCUUCACUUUACUUGCACUCCUCAAUGAAAUGACAAAAAGAGGAUAUGGGAGAUCUGGAACGAUGAGACAAAAUCGUCUGUUUGAUGUCCCAUUCAAGCCACAGAAAGACUUCAUGAAGUUACUCUGGGAACCUCUGAGGUUUUGAGCCAAGGAGACAAGUUGCUGGUCCGUUAGAAAGACAAUAACAUUGUCACAGUGGCAACAAACAUGGAGGAGAAAUACAGUGAGACCUCUGUCAAGAGAUGGAACAAGGAGCGAUGUGCCUUUUGACAAAGUCCUACAACAAAAUGCAUCAACCGAUACAAUGAGCACAUGGGGGGUGUUGUUCUUCACAACCUACAGGUUUCAAGAUACUAUAUCUCCAUCAGUUCUAAGAAGUGGUGGUGGCCCAUCUUUGCAUGGUCUCUCAACAGUGCACUCGUAAACAUCCAUUUAUUUUACAGAGAUUAUAGGAGGGACAAUCGACCUGCUCACCUUCUCAUGGAUAGUGGCACAGUCUCUUAUGCAAAAGUUUGGCACGAGACCACUGAGCCACGGAAGGAGAUCUCUACUGGCUGCCACUGUUGAAAAUCAGGCAAGAUAUGACAAAGCUUCUCACUGGCCAAUCAACACGAUGCACCGGUUCCAGAGAUGUCGUCAUUGUGACAAACGCACUACCUAUGCAUGUGAGAAAUGCAAAGCGCCGCUGCACAUUGAGUGCUUCAAUAUAUACCAUGGACAGUAGAAAAGGCGUUCAGAGCGAAUGAAAAAGGGCUGAAAAGGCCAAUAAAAAAACAAAUGUGAAAAGUCAAUAAAGGGUGAGGAGAAGCAGUACCACGGACUCUAGGAAGAAAAGAAAAGUCAACGAAAAAGGGAAUCAAUUGAUUCAAGACCUACUGUAUGAAAGUAGGUCUGACUGAUUGUAGUUCAAAAUAGUGAUGCACAAACUAAUUGUGCAAUUGGUUCUGAAGCCUACCUCUAUGAUAUAGAUGUAUGUAUGUGUAUAUAUAUAUUUAUACAUACAUACAUACAUACAUACAUACAUACAUACAGUUGAAGUCGGGAGUUUGCAUACACCUUAGCCAAAUACAUUUAAACUCAGUUUUUCACAAUUCCUGAUAUUUAAUCCUCGUAAAAAUGCCCUGUCUUAGGUCAGUUAGGAUCAACACUUUAUUUUAAGAAUGUGAAAUGUCAGAAUAAUAGUAGAGAGAAUUAUUUAUUUAAGCUUUUAUUUCUGUCAUCACAUUCCCAGUGGUGAGAUGGGAAGAGGUCUUGGCUUUUGAAAUUGCAAGGCAUCUAGCUCUGUAAUAAUCCUUGUAGGUUACUCAUAAUCCUACACAAAGGUGAAGACUGAGUGUACUGUAUUCAUCAAAAGCUGUUAACAUAAUGUACGUGUGCACACCCAGAGUUAAUGAAGGUUCUGCCCUCAAGGUUUGGAGAGGGCAGAGAAACAUCUCUGUAUUUAUCAAGGAAUUGGACCACAUAGCUCCAUCUGAUGCUAAGCAUGCACUGCCGACAUUGUAAAACAACACCUGAAACAUCAUGCAUGUCACCAGAAAAAAAAAGUUGUUGCUGUGGCCUUGCAUAGGGAAACCAUAAGAACGAUUAACUUGAAGGGAAUCAGUAACCUACACAGGUUUUUGGGGGUUUACUAGGCCUACAAACUACUGCCAAUACACACACUUGUUAUUGUGAAAACUGUCCUCAACCCGGACUCCGGGGUAGAUGGAACAUAGUAAAUCUAAAUCUGGGACACUACAUUUAGUAUGAUAUGUUAUAUUUCAUAUGGUAUGUAUUCAUUUGUGGAUGUGCAUCAUCCAUUUCGGAUGAUAUGUUACAAAUUGCAAUUUGUACAAUGUCACCACAACGUCAUAAAAUGUGCUAUUUUAGUUGAAAAGAAAGAUAUGUAUUGGUAAUAAUAUUUUUGUUACAAUUUGGAAGUUUUCUUAAUUAUAUGUAUUCAUUGUCAUGUCUAAAUGUCCAUAUAUGUCUUGAUGAUACUCAAAAACAUGUUUUUACCACAUCAAAAUCUUUAUAUUUGACAUUAUUUUAGGGAUUAAGAACAAGCAUAUAAGGUUCACAUAUGGGAGAAAUCAUAAAUCAAUUUAAUACACUGUUUCCUAAAAAUAUAUGUACCCUGAUGGUAAUGACUUAGCAUUGUGGUAAUGACAGUGUCAUGGAAAUAACAUUUCACAUAAAACAUUUUAAUUCAAAAGGGACUUAUUUUGGUGAGCUCUGUGUAUGACCACUUGACCUCUGGUAAUUCUGGUAAUUCUAUCUUGAACUUCUGAUGGAGUUUUGCCAGUGUGUCGUUCAUGUAUCGCUUCUGCAUUUCAUUCUUUUGUCUUGUCAAUCUUUCCUUUUUCCUGUUGAUGCUCGACUGUUACCAUCACGUUCCUAAAAACGUUUUAUUUAAUCUUCUAUUGAUGGGCUGAUUGCAUUCGAAUGUUUCUUUUUUGAGUACCACAGACAAGUUGGCCGUUUUGUUGUUUGCCCGCAUUGUCUUCACAGAGAAUCCAUAUUCUAUUUGCCAUUUUCACCAUACAAUACUUUUUCAGUAUUUUCCCAGCCAAAACCUUGGAUAUCACUGGUGGGUCUUUUGCACUCGGUUGCUUCUGGUAUUUCUCUCUCAGCUCUGAGAUGAUGGUGUUAUGUUAUUUUUUUCAGAUUCUGUGGCUUUGACCGCAUUUGUUGUUUUGUUUUUGUACCGGAGGAAUCCAAAAUUCUGAUCUUUUCUGACAAUCUAUUAUAUCUUUUUAAAAAUAAUUUCCCUCCACAUUCUUUCCGCGGCCUUCAACUUCAUAUUGGCCAUACAUAGAUCCUUGUAGACUUUGGAUCUGUUUUUUUUACACCUUUUCUACAGCCUCUCUGUCUUGGGGUUUCCGAGUUUGAAUAGGAGGGGGACUCUGGUGACAUUUGAGGGGCAGAUAGGUCAUCAUUCGGUAGCUGUAAGACUUCCUGUGAGUGUGGUGGUGUGUUCCUUGACAGGUAUGACUCCAUAACCACUCCUCUCUGGAUAGUUGAUCUGCUGUUUCUUUGGUUCAUUUUCCAUUGCCUCCUUUUUCUACCCGUUUUUCUCACUGGGAAAGUUGUGAGAUUGGUUUCACAGUUCACCACUUUCUUGUCUCUUGAUUUGUCUUUCUUUGUGUCGUUCGGGUUUGAGUUUUGCCGGGUUAGGCCGUCAUUGUAAAUAAGAAUUUGUUCUUAACUGACUUACCUAGUUAAAUAAAGGUUAAAUAAAUAAAUGCUAUUGGUAUCUAUAGGAUCUUGUUUGAUUUUGUUAGUAUGUGCUCUUGUCCUAUCCUUGGUUGAAUUUGAGGGUAUCUUAUAGAAGAAUAAAUUAAUAAAUAAUUAAAGACAGUAAUAACCUUAGUAAAUCACAUAAAUAGAGAUCAAAUCACUCAAUAAAAUGUAAUGGUCUUAUUUAGCAAAUAAGUGUUAAAUUUC
ensembl:lncRNA